rnacentral:rRNA from 1 species
UGGGGAAUUUUGGACAAUGGGCGAAAGCCUGAUCCAGCAAUGCCGCGUGUGUGAAGAAGGCCUUCGGGUUGUAAAGCACUUUUGUCCGGAAAGAAAUCCUCUGGGUUAAUACCUCGGGGGGAUGACGGUACCGGAAGAAUAAGCACCGGCUAACUACGUGCCAGCAGCCGCGGUAAUACGUAGGGUGCAAGCGUUAAUCGGAAUUACUGGGCGUAAAGCGUGCGCAGGCGGUUUUGUAAGACGGAUGUGAAAUCCCCGGGCUUAACCUGGGAACUGCAUUCGUGACUGCAAGGCUAGAGUAUGGCAAGAGGGGGGUAGAAUUCCACGUGUAGCAGUGAAAUGCGUAGAGAUGGUGGAGGAAUACCGAUGGCGAAGGCAGCCCCCUGGGCCAAAUACUGACGCUCAUGCACGAAAGCGUGGGGGAGCAAAACAGGAUUCAGAUACCCUGGUAGUCCACGCCCUAAACGAUGUCAACUAGUUGUUGGGGACUUCAUUUCCUUAGUAACGUAGCUAACGCGUGAAGUUGACCGCCUGGGGAGUACGGUCGCAAGAUUAAAACUUAAAUGAAUUGACGGGGUCAUAGCUGUUUCC